AAGUACUUGUACUUAUGCUGACGAGUGGCGGACGGGUGAGUAAUGCUUGGGGAUCUGGCUUAUGGAGGGGGAUAACGACGGGAAACUGUCGCUAAUACCGCGUAGAAUCGAGAGAUGAAAGUGUGGGACCUUCGGGCCACAUGCCAUAGGAUGAACCCAAGUGGGAUUAGGUAGUUGGUAGGGUAAUGGCCUACCAAGCCGACGAUCCCUAGCUGGUCUGAGAGGAUGACCAGCCACACCGGGACUGAGACACGGCCCGGACUCCUACGGGAGGCAGCAGUGGGGAAUAUUGCGCAAUGGGGGCAACCCUGACGCAGCCAUGCCGCGUGAAUGAAGAAGGCCUUCGGGUUGUAAAGUUCUUUCGGUGACGAGGAAGGUUGUUGUGUUAAUAGCGCAACAA
rnacentral:rRNA from 1 species